rnacentral:rRNA from 1 species
GACGAACGCUGGCGGCGUGCCUAAUACAUGCAAGUCGAACGCAGUGGGGACGGGUGAGUAACACGUGGGUAACCUCCCAUCAGAGGGGAUAACACUUGGAAAAAGGUGCUAAACCGAUACCGAUGGAUGGAACGCCGGUGCAUUAGCUAGUAGGUGAGGUAACGGCUCACCAAGGCCACGAUGCAGAGCCAACCUGAGAGGAUGAUCAGCCAAAAUGGGACUGAGACACGGACCAGACUCCUAAGGGAGGCAGCAGUAGGGAAUAUUAGGCAAUGGACGCAAGUCUGACCGAGCAACGCCGCGUGAGUGAAGAAGGUUUUCGGAUCGUAAAGCUCUGUCCGUAGUGAAGCGGUAUCCAAAGAGGAAGCAACGGCUAACUACGUGCCAGCAGCCGCGUUAAUAC